AUGUCAUUGAAAUUUAGUUAUAUACCAUAUAAAAUAAAUAAACUGAUUGUUUUGAUUAAUUUACCAAAAUAGUAUCGUAAAUAAACAAGAUAUAUUGUUUUGAUUUAUGUCUUUACUCUAAUUUAAUUAUAUACAUAAUACAUAAAUGAAUACAAAUAAAUAAUAAUAAAUAAAAAUUAAUUUUAUAUAUAACAUUCAUCCUGCGCAAUUGCGUGGAUCUUAAACUUGUUAUUAUGUAAAUUAUUUGGCAAGUGAUAUUAAUUGGUUAUAGACUUACCUUUUCUUUUUAGAUCUAAUUAAAUAAAUAAAAAUUAAAAAUUAUUGACCAAUCAAAUUAUAACAAUUUUGUAAGAGUUCACCUAUGAUCGGUACGUAAGGAAAAAUCACUAAAGUGACUUCUCAAUUAAUAUAUAGUAGGAAAUAUAUUUUAUAAAUUUAACACAUCAUCACUUAUUUUAUAAAUUUAACACAUCAUUAUUGUUUCUUUAAUUAAUAAAUUAUUCCUACAUUUCCAUCUUCUUCUUAUUUAUAUCAAAUUUAUUAUAUAUACUAGGGGCAUUGCCCCCGCGCAAGCGCGGAAAUGCGGACAAAGUUUUUUUUUCAUCUCAAUAUUUGUUAGGGUUAUUGUAGUUGUGAAUUUUGUGUUUUGGGUUGAUCAUUGUUUUACAAGUUUUUUAAUUGUUAUAGGGUUAGAAUUGUGAUGAUGAACUGUGUAUGCAUUGUUCUCCACUUAGGAAUGACUAAACUGUGUUAGUAAUGUGAUUGAUAUAGUUCGUGGUGUUUCUUGAUAUGUCACUAAGACUUAUUGUUUGUUUGUCUUUUUAAUUUGUCUCUUGUAUUGUUGAGAGUACAUAAAUUAUAUUAAGGUUGUUGAGCGUACCUUUUAUUUUUGGAUAUUUUUUCUCCAAUUUAGUUGUGUAAGUUGUAUGUAUUAAGUAAUAAUUUUUAUUAUCCAUAUUAUGUUUGUUAUAUGUUUUUUUAUUUUUAAAUUUGUUGCUUUCACCGGACCUUUAAAACAAAUACAUAAAGACUUUGUAGAAAUAACUAUAAAACGAGUGACAAUUCUGAGUAUUUGGGAUUUAAUGGGUUUUAACAAAUUUAUGUAUUUCUUAUAAGAAAACAAUAGCAUUGGCCUGUUGACAUUGGACAUGUAAGUUAUUUUCAUAAGAUAAGAGGAGUGAGCAGGUGGAGAUGUUGUUGCCACUUCUGUGUCUGUCGAGAUUGUCUCUUGUAUCUCAUGGUGUGGAUGUGUUUGUAUCUCUUUAUUUGAUGGGUAAUAUGUAAACACAAAUCAUUGUAAGUUAUAUUUAUCAGAUUUCGUAACUUACUCUGCUUUUUUUAAGGUAAUUUUACUGAUCUUAGUUGUCUUCUUCGUCUUUUUCGUAAGCAUUUGCGAACGUAAGUUUGUAAAUUGUUAAAUAGUUGGUUGUGUAUUUUGUAUUGUUUAGCUGCUCGAUGUAUAUGUUGUUGAGUUUUAGUUGAGGUGAUUUGUUUGGUAUAUUUGUUUUGAAGUUUAUUUGUAAGAUUAGACAAAAAAAAAGGUGAUCAUUAAUGAUUUGUUUUUGGGAUUCUAGUUUUUGGUGUUUUGAUUGUUUGAGUUGUUGUGGUUUCUUUUAAGCUUUAAAAUAAAAGUUUGUGUAAAAUUAGUUUGAUAAGUAAAGGAGAUAAAUAGACGACCACCUGUCUUGGUUAUGUCUUGGUUAGAAAAUAUUUUUGAUUAUUGAUGCUAACAUGAUAUAGACAGUAAUAUAAAGGGAAUUGUGUAUUGAUUGUUUUUUACGGAUCAAUGAGGAGCUGGAUAACGACUCGAGUUGUUUCUUUGGUUAGGUCAGAGCUCUGAACAAAACGGAUUUUUCCAACCACAUAUGCGAGUUUAAAUAUCAGUUAUGAUAUCGAAACAUAAUAUAAACUCAUAUGCAAUAUGAUAAUAUACAUGGAAAUUGUUGAACAGUCUAAUCAUGACUGGAGAUUGAUCUCAGGAGCACACAUGAUGGCUCAUCAAUAAUAGUUGCUGAGAUGAAAUGAGUGAGGAAUGUAUGAUCAGUUAUCUUGUGCAUGCUUGAGCACCUAGUAACCUCAAAACGAUCGACUUUCACAAUGGAACCGGCUUUCAAAGAUGACAUGUAAUGAUUAGCACGUCUGGCGGGAAUAAACCCAUGAAUCACAAAAUCUGAAAAUAAUAUUAUUCAACAAAGAAUAAAAAAAUCAAUUAAAAAUAAUUAUGUUAAAUAAGUGUGAUAGAUCGAAGAUUAACUUACCUUUUCAUCAAGAAAGAGAACCGUGAUUCCGAUAAACUCACUGUCUUUCUUGAAGUUCAGGGAAUCCCAGAAGCGGAGGAGGCCAGAAGCUAUGCUCUGACUACUACGACCAAGACGGAGAGACUCGAAGAUUGAGUGACGGAUGCCGGUUUUUAGGAACUGGAUAGGCAGAUAGAGAGACAUUUCUAGAAGCUGGUUAAAGCUAAGAGGAAUCAAUGAGUUUUGUGGAGAUGCAAAUUAGGUUCAUUAAAGAUGAGAAUUAUAUAUAUAUGGUUUACAGAGGGGCUACAAAUCAGGAACAUUUAUGAUCCAGCGAUUUAAAAUGGGGAGAUGAAUAGAUUACGAACAGACACACGGCGCAACUCUGUAACUCAGAUUUAUCUGAGACAAUGAUGAAAAGAACCAUAACUCAUGUUAAACGACAACAAUUUACAAUAUGGGAAAACAUAAUUGUUGCAUACUUGAGUUUUUUUUCAUAUAACAUGAUGAAACUCAUUUAAAAAUGAAACCCAUAAUACACUUGUAGGCCCGAUCCUCAGAGGAAGCCGAAGAAAGCAAGGGCUUCCGACCUUCAUAAAUAUAUAUUAGUUUUGGUCAUCAAUGUACAAAGUAUCUUUUAGUUUAAUGGUAUAAAUGUUGGUAUUAAUAUCUCAAUAACUCGGUUCGAGUCAUGAAUUUGACACUUUUCACAGUUUUUAAAAAUGGAACCCACAAAACGCUGACGUGACACGCUAAGGAACGAUUAAAGUGCCGCAUUAUAAUGCAGACUAGGUAGUUGUCCGCGAUUUCGCGGGUAUAAAUAUUUAUGAAAAUUAUAUAUUAUGUUUAUAAUUUUAUAAUUUUUAAUAAUAACCAUAACUAUUAAAAAUAAUCUUUUUGUUUUAAAUAGUUUGAAAAUCAAAGUCUUGAUAUUGUAUAAUCUGAGAAGAUUAUUGAGAUAUAGUGUUAAUUUCUAUAAAUUUUAUUAUAAAUUUUUAAAAGUUUUUUUAUGACAUAAUUUUUUAUUAAUAAAAGAAACAAAGAUUAAUAAACAAGAAGUUAUUUUAUAACACAUUCUAUUUUUGCAUUAUUUUUCUACCACAUUAUUUUAUUUAAAAGUAAAAUAGUUACAAAUAGUUAACUAACAGUUACAACACUACGUAAAACACAUGUAUUUCGGCAAACAUAUAAAACAUUAAGUACGUAAAAAUAUAAAAUAACAAAGAAUGCAACCAAGAAUACAACAAAUAAGUUUUUAUUAUUCUUCGCUGAUGUUUUAUAUAUGUAUCCUUCAUUUUUUCCUAUUACAAAAUAAGACUGUUAUUUUAUUAUAAUAUAUAUCAAUAGAGUAAAUCUAGUCUCAUAUUAAUAUAUUGUUUCUCAUUUUAAAUUUAUAUAUUAUAAUAAACUUUUUCAUUGAUUAAUAUUAUCUUAAAGUAUUUACAAUAUAAUUUUAUUAUAAUCAAAGCUGUAAGAAUUAUAUUAAUAGAGUAUAUUAACCUUAGUCUCAUAUUAGUAUAAUGUUCCAAUAUUUCAGUUUUAUAUUAUAAUAAUUAUUUUCAUUUAUUAAUAUUAUUUUAAAAUACUUACCAUAUAUUUUUCUGAUUUUAAAUAUACCAAUAUUUUAAUCAUUUCUAAAAGUAAUAACUCAACUACACAAUUAACAUUUGUUGCUGAAAAAUGACUGAAUGUUUUUAAAAUUGUAUAUUUGACUGUUUUACAAUAAUUGGACACAUUUAAUAUAUAUAGUGAGUAUAAAAAAAUAUUAUUAGGUUUAGGUUAAUUAGUUUUAUGUAAUCUAUAAUUUAUUGUAUCCACUAUUAAUAUAAAUAUGUUAAAAUCGUUUAUAUAAUUAUUUCUAUCAUACCAUAUGUAUUUAUAUGUAUAUUUUAAAUUUCUAUAAUGUAAUCUAUGAUAUUUAAUUGUUUCUAUAAACAAAUUAUGUUAAUUCUUCUAACUUUAAAUUGUUUAAUUAUUUGUAUGGUAAUCUAGGAUUAGUUUCUUUUUUAAAACUUUAAUUAAAUAAAUGAAAAUUUCAAAUACCAACAAUCAAUAAUUCUAAAUUUCACCUAUGAAUGACACCUAAGCAAAAGUCAAUUAAGUGACUUCUCAAUUAAUAUAUUGUAGAAUUUUAACAACUCAUAUUCUCUAAUUGAUAUUUUAUAUUCAAUUCAAUCAAAAUUUUGAUAUCGAUUGUUUAAUUUAAUGAAAAUAUGUAAUAUAACCUUUAAAAAAAUUAUGUAAUUGUUUUUCAUGUUUCAUCAAAACCAAAACAAUCAAAAUAAAUAAUAAUCAAUCUGGCAACAUUUUCCUCAUUUCUCAACAAGAUUAAGCUGUAAAAUGAUGGAAAAAAUAACUAGGCUCCGAAUGUUGACUGCGGUUUGAGCGGUGCGGGGCAAGCGGUUCAACUGCGGUGCAGUUUUAAUAGUUAUAAAAAUGUAUAUAGAUAUAUAGUAUAUGUAGAGAUUUUUGUUACUGUAAAAUGCGAAGCGGGGCGGGAUGAUGGUCACCAUUCGAAGCCUAAAGUUUAAUACAUAAAAACUAAUAUGAUAGACAAACUGUACAAUACACAACAACCCGCAAAGGAUAAUUAAAUAAAAACAAAUAUGAUAGUGAAUAACCUAAAACAAAUCAAACAAAAUAAAAUAAAUAUGCCGCUGAAAUAAAAAUAAAACAUUAUUUCAUUCAAAGAAUUAGUUACUAUGCAAUUUUGUUAAUCGUAACGAUUUUCAGUUUUUUUUUUUUUUUUGACAUCCGUAACGAUUUUCAGUUAUUAUGCAAUUUAAUUAACCAUGACGAUUUUGACACGCUCAAUAUCCGAACAUCAUAUACAACUAAAAAUUGCAUAGAAACAAUGGUUCGCAAAUAAUAUGUAACCAACCUUUUAAAUCUAAAAACAAAUGUCAUUGCAAAACAAAGUCAAAAUCUCUAAUCACGUCUAACAUCUAGUAUGUAUAUAUAUAUAUAUGUUUUUGCUGAACAUAUGAACAAAUUGUAGAUUUGGAGAAUUAAGUAGUGCAAGUCGAAAUACAUGUAGCUGGACACUAUGAAUCCAGUUGACAAAAAAAAAGAAGAUAUUGUGAAUCCCAAACUUGUUUAUUAAUCUCUCGUUUCGAAACUCAACAACAGCAACAACAACAGCAAAAGUUACACAUCGCAAAGGAAU